AGCUUGUUGGUGAGGUAAUGGCUCACCAAGGCGACGACGGGUAGCCGGCCUGAGAGGGCGACCGGCCACACUGGGACUGAGACACGGCCCAGACUCCUACGGGAGGCAGCAGUGGGGAAUAUUGCACAAUGGGCGAAAGCCUGAUGCAGCGACGCCGCGUGAGGGAUGACGGCCUUCGGGUUGUAAACCUCUUUCAGCAGGGAAGAAGCGAAAGUGACGGUACCUGCAGAAGAAGCCCCGGCUAACUACGUGCCAGCAGCCGCGGUAAUACGUAGGGCGCAAGCGUUGUCCGGAAUUAUUGGGCGUAAAGAGCUCGUAGGCGGCUUGUCACGUCGGGUGUGAAAGCCCGGGGCUUAACCCCGGGUCUGCAGUCGAUACGGGCAGGCUUGAGUUCGGUAGGGGAGAUCGGAAUUCCUGGUGUAGCGGUGAAAUGCGCAGAUAUCAGGAGGAACACCGGUGGCGAAGGCGGAUCUCUGGGCCAUACUGACGCUGAGGAGCGAAAGCGUGGGGAGCGAACAGGAUUAGAUACCCUGGUAGUCCACGCCGUAAACGGUG
rnacentral:rRNA from 1 species